UGCUGCAGACGGAUGUAUUUAAGUCAAAACCGUUGUUGCCACGGAAUAGAGAAACAUGGCCGUCGCAGUGGGAGAGUAUGAAGCUCGCAUGGAACAGCAGGAGAAAGAAAUCAAGUCCCUUAUUGCUGAAGUUGAGAGUUUAAAAAACCCUGUGAUACUAGAUUAUUCCUUGGGACUGGGCGAGAUGUUAGAGGAAAACACCAAACUCAACUACCGUUUAAACGUUCUCAAGCGGAGUCUUCAAGAAGAGGAGGGCAAAAUAGGAUCAAGUAUGAUCAAUACUAAUCAGCGUCUACAGAACAUUUUCAGUGUUGCCAUCAAACUUGCCUAUCCACAUUUUGAAAACCCGCCAUUAGCAGUCACACCAAGCCAGCAUGCCAAAUUUGGAGAUUACCAAUGCAACAGUGCCAUGGCAAUGUCUCAGCAAUUGAAAGCCAAAGGGGAGAAAAUUAAUCCUGUGGAGAUUGCCAAGCAAAUUAUCAAUAACAUUCCUAAAAAUGAUGUCAUUGAAAAAGUCGAGAUUGCUGGACCUGGUUUUGUCAAUGUUCACCUCAACAAAGAAUUUAUCUCCAAGCUGCUGACUGACCUCCUUGUAAAUGGAGUUCGACCUCCCCCAGUAGGACCAAAGAAGAAGGUGGUGGUUGAUUUCUCCUCUCCGAAUAUUGCCAAAGAGAUGCACGUGGGUCAUCUGCGAUCGACCAUCAUUGGAGACAGCAUGUGCCGCUUGUUUGAGUUUGUGGGUUAUGACGUUUUGAGGCUAAAUCAUGUUGGUGACUGGGGGACACAAUUUGGUAUGUUGAUUGCACACUUGCAAGAUAAGUUUCCAGAUUACCUGGUUGUUUCCCCUCCGAUUGGAGAUCUUCAGGCCUUCUACAAAGAAUCCAAAAAGAGAUUUGAUGAAGAGGAAAACUUUAAGAAGCGGGCGUAUGAGUGUGUGGUACAACUGCAGAGCCACAAUCAAGAAAUUACUAAGGCUUGGAAUCUGAUCUGUGAUGUUUCUCGGAAGGAAUUCCAGAAAAUUUAUAACUGUCUGGAUAUAAAACUGAUUGAAAGGGGAGAAUCAUACUAUCAAGACAUGAUGGUUGACGUUGUUAAAAUGUUUGAGGAGAAAGGUCUGGUCCAACUCGACGAAGGCCGAAAAAUUGUUUUUCCACCAGGAUGCUCAUUGCCUCUGACAAUAGAAAAAUCCGAUGGAGGCUACACAUAUGACACCUCAGACUUAGCAGCUCUGCGACAGAGGAUUUUUGGUGAGAAGGCUGAUAUGAUCAUCUAUGUUGUGGAUAGUGGGCAGAGUGUCCAUUUCCAGACGUUCUUUGCAGCAGCCCAGAUGAUUGGCUGGUAUGAUCCCAAAAAGAUCAGAGUGGAACACACUGGAUUUGGUGUGGUCUUAGGUGAAGAUAAAAAGAAGUUCAAGACAAGGUCAGGUGAAACUGUACGAUUGAUUGACCUACUGGAUGAGGGUCUGAAAAGAUCAAUGGAAAAACUGUUGGCGAAGGAACGAGACAAGGUAUUGACACCUGAUGAGCUUAAGGCAGCACAGGAAGCUGUUGCAUAUGGCUGCAUCAAAUAUGCUGACCUUUCUCAUAAUCGGACCAAUGAUUAUAUCUUCUCCUUUGAUAAAAUGUUGGAUGACAGGGGAAACACGGCAGCCUAUUUGCUGUAUGCCUUCACUAGAAUCAGAUCCAUUACCCGGCUUGCAAACAUUGAUGAUGCAACACUGCGGAAAGCAGCUACAGAAACAACCAUCCUUCUCAGUCAUGAGAAAGAAUGGAAGUUGGGUAAAUGUAUUCUGCGAUUCCCAGAAAUCAUUAACAAAAUCCUGGAUGACCUAUACCUGCAUACUCUCUGCGACUACCUCUUUGAACUGGCCACAACCUUCACAGAGUUCUAUGAUAACUGUUACUGUGUAGAGAAGGACAGGCAAACUGGUGAGGUUGUAAAAGUGAACAUGUGGAGGAUGCUUUUGUGUGAUGCUACUGCUUCUGUCAUGGCACAGAGUUUUGCUAUCCUGGGAAUUAAGCCUGUUGAGAAGAUGUAAUUUUGCUACAGAAUCCAGCAUGUUGAACGACAGGUCUUAUAUCAAAUGAAAGUGAACAACAGCUCAGUUCAGCAUCAGGUGCUGUGAAGGAGUCUCUAAUCUUGAGGAGUUCAGCAGCGCAGUGAUAGCCAAAUACUUUGUUGUACCAUUCUGGAGUUCGUCCUCUGCAAGAAACCAGGACAACAAGAUGAACGUGAAAAGUUUUGAAUUUUGGCUUGCAUCAUAAUUUCUAGUGGUCUGAAACAACUAUGCAUUUAUUAUCACAUCUCGUGGUAAAAUGUUUAAGAGUCUUCAACGGAUUAGAACAAACCUUAUAUGCUGCAAAGCAUGGUUUGUGCACAUGCCCCUUUAUAUAUAUAAAAAAAAAAUCAGAUGAAACAGUUACUGAUAAACUAAACUACUAUUUUAUUCAAGGAUGAUGUUUAGGCUGCAAAAUCAUAGUGAAUUGUGAUGAUUGAAAAUAGGAGUUGCCAGUAUGUUUAUGGGCAUUCAUGAUUUUGAAAUAUGAAAAUAAAAUCAUUGGUCAUUUAAAUGACCUUUUCCCAGGAGCUUAAACUGUUUGGGUUAUCUCACUUGGGAACCUCAAAUGGGGAUUGGUCAUAACACUCUCCAUCCAAUGAAUUAAACAUCCUGCAUUUUUCUGAAUCA